AGAAUCAUAAUUCUCUACCAGCUGCUUAUUUUAGAGUCAUCUGGGUCUGGGGAUGGUUCUGGACAAAAAUACAAAUUUGGAGACCCAUCACUGGUUUGUAGGAUCAGUGAGAUCAUGAAAACUAGAAGUAAUUUCAACGCGACUUUUUUUAUUUACUUUGGAAAUGGUUCAGUUGGACACAUGAGUGAUAAGAGGUGGACAUUUCAAGUUCAAUUGUGUUUGAUGACUCAUUAGGUUAAAGAAGCUGUCAGGUGGUAAAGUCACCCCAGGUUGUUAAUAAAUAUACCAGAGAAUAAUGGUCCUGCUAUUGAUGGAUCCCAAGGGAGAAUUCCUAUUAAUCACUUCAAUCUUAGGGUGAGCCAUUUAUUCUUACUCUUUGUAUUUUCCCCAUUAAUGAAUGAUUCCCCUUUCCAUGUGCAGUUUUAAGUAUUCACACUGUAGUAGUUUAUUUUUAUUAUCUUCUUAGCAUUUCUCAUGAAACAGAGAUCCCAUAAUUGAUGUGUAUCUUGGACUCUGAAACUCUGCCUGUGUAUAAUGAAGGGAUUGGCCUGGAUGACCUCCUUCCUCUAUCAUUCUAGAAUCUCUCUUUGUCCCAACUUGAAACCAAACAGGUGCCAGGGUCUGUCGCAGAGAAGAAUAAUUAGCACAUCCAUUAACAUGGGCCCUGUUAACACAUCCAGUGUUGACUCUAAUUACUGGUAGAUUUUAACUGAGCUCUGCUGUCUAUAAGUGACUGUUAGCAAAUGAUAGUAUAUUUGAUUUGACAUACAUCAUACGUACUGAAUAGUAAGCUUCAGUCAACUUUUACACAAGUACUCGUAAAGAAGCUGAAGAUUUUAAGCUAACAGAUUAAAAGUGGGAACAAAUGAUAUAAGUGCAAGAGCAUGAAAUUAAAGCAAUUAUUGUUGUUUUUGAUGCUUCAAAAUGUGGGAUUUAUAUGUAGUCCUUUACUUUUUAUAGUGUUUAUGAAAGUGGUUCAAUGUGUCUUCUUUUAAGAGAUCAUAUAUCCUAGUAUUAGUAACAUGAAUCUAUAGGCUUGUCAAAUAUAUAUGUUAAUAAAAAAAUUUAAAACCA
rnacentral:lncRNA from 1 species